GAAAUGCGAUAAGUAAUGUGAAUUGCAGAAUUCAGUGAAUCAUCGAAUCUUUGAACGCACCUUGCGCUCCUUGGUAUUCCUUGGAGCAUGCCUGUUUGAGUAUCAUGAAAUCUUCAAAGUAAAUCUUUUGUUAACUCAAUUGGUUUCUACUUUGGUAUUGGAGGUCUUUGCAGCUUCACACCUGCUCCUCUUUGUUCAUUAGCUGGAUCUCAGUGUUAUGCUUGGUUCCACUCGGCGUGAUAAGUUAUCUAUCGCUGAGGACACUGUAAAAGGUGGCAAAGGUAAAUGCAGAUGAACCGCUUCUAAUAGUCCAUUGACUUGAACAAUACUUUUAUGAUCUGAUCUAAAAUCAGGUAGGACUACCCGCUGAACUUAAGC
rnacentral:misc_RNA from 1 species